GUGGGGUAGGGGAGCGUUCUGUAAGCCGUUGAAGGUGGUCUGUAAGGGCUGCUGGAGGUAUCAGAAGUGCGAAUGCUGACAUGAGUAACGAUAAAGGGAGUGAAAAACUCCCUCGCCGGAAGACCAAGGGUUCCUGUCCAACGUUAAUCGGGGCAGGGUAAGUCGACUCCUAAGGCGAGGCCGAAAGGCGUAGUCGAUGGGAAACGGGUUAAUAUUCCCGUACUUCUUACAAUUGCGAUGGGGGGACGGAGAAGGCUAGGUGGGCCUGGCGACGGUUGUCCAGGUUCAAGUAUGUAGGCGGAAAGUUUAGGUAAAUCCGGACUUUCUUAACGCUGAGAUACGAUGUCGAGCACCUACGGGUGUGAAGUCAUUGAUGCCAUGCUUCCAGGAAAAGCCUCUAAGCUUCAGAUUGUAAGGAAUCGUACCCCAAACCGACACAGGUGGUCGGGUAGAGAAUACCAAGGCGCUUGAGAGAACUCGGGUGAAGGAACUAGGCAAAAUGGUACCGUAACUUCGGGAGAAGGUACGCUCUUAUCAGUGAAGUCCCUUGCGGAUGGAGCAG
rnacentral:rRNA from 1 species